UACGAAGGGGGCUAGCGUUGUUCGGAAUUACUGGGCGUAAAGCGCGCGAAGGCGGCCUUUCAAGUCAGGGGUGAAAGCCCGGAGCUCAACUCCGGAAUUGCCUUUGAAACUGUCAGGCUCGAGUUCGGAAGAGGCGAGUGGAAUUCCUGGUGUAGCGGUGAAAUGCGCAGAUAUCAGGAGGAACACCGGUGGCGAAGGCGGUUCUCUGGGCAUUACCUGACGCUGAGGAGCGAAAGUGUGGGGAGCGAACAGG
rnacentral:rRNA from 1 species